CUACACAGUACGUGCAGACCAACUGUUAAGUCGACAUUUGUUCAUUCUUUUCGUUAGGAAAGAUGAAGAAUUAUGAUAAGAUUUACAGUUUAUUAUUCGUGCUCCAAGCCCUUCAAAUUCAGUUCCAAAGUUUUAUGGAAGAACGACCGGAGCUUUCAAAGGAUAAAUACGUGUACGAGGGUUACAGUGCUGGACUGAUGGACCAAGGGUUAAUGGAAUCGGAGGCCUUGCUGGAGGAGUUGACAGAAAUGGAGGAACGGUCUGUUGAGCUUGAAGAAAACCUUAAUACAACAAUAGACGAGAUUUUAAGAUCUGGGAACACAUCUGGAUGGCUGAUGGUUGCUGAUAGCCUACAGAUACAGUUGAAUCUUCUGCAAACUGAGAUAAGAGAUGCAAUCAACAAGCUCAAAGGUACAUCAACAGGGGAAUCCCAGAGACAUCUUCCCAAUGUGCUGCUGAAACACAUUCAGAAGGAUCAGGUAAAAAAAUAACUAUGUGUUAUAACUAAAAUAUAACUUUGUGGUCAUCAUGAUAUUCAAUAAUUAAGGUCAUAUUUUUGCUUCAUAGGCAACUAUGAUUAAUA
rnacentral:lncRNA from 1 species